GAGUUAUUUAGAAAACUUGCAUAAGUGCCAACUCUUUGUCUCUACCUAUAGGGAAUGAGAACCAGUAGAUUUGAGGGGAGGUUCAGGAAUCUGCAUUUUAAAUACAUAUCAUUGGUUGUUAUAUUAUCAGAUGGGGAA
rnacentral:miRNA from 1 species